GCUUCAGGUAUGAUUGACUUCAAAAAAUACCUUGAAACUAUAAACCUCAGUUUCUUUGAAUUUGAUUUUUAAAGUCAAUAAUACCUUGAAGC